rnacentral:rRNA from 1 species
AGACGUAGGCAGCGAGCGUUGUUCGGAGUUACUGGGCGUAAAGCGUGCGUAGGCGGUUCCGCAAGUUCGGUGUGAAAUAUCCCGGCUCAACUGGGCGGGUGCGCCGGAAACUGCGGAGCUUGAGCAUGGGAGAGGAAAGUGGAAUUCCUGGUGUAGCGGUGAAAUGCGUAGAUAUCAGGAGGAACACCGGUGGUGUAGACGGCUUUCUGGACCAUUGCUGACGCUGAGGCACGAAAGCGUGGGGAGCGAACAGGAUUAGAAACCCGUGUAGUCC